CGCGUAUACAAUCUACCUUUUACAGGGGGAUAGCCUUUAGAAAUGAAGAUUAAUACCCCAUAGUAUCUAAAUCUCGCAUGUUAUUUAGAUUAAAGUUUUGGCGGUAAAAGAUGAGUAUGCGUUCUAUUAGCUAGAUGGUGUGGUAACGGCACACCAUGGCAACGAUAGAUAGGGGCCCUGAGAGGGGGAUCCCCCACACUGGUACUGAGACACGGACCAGACUCCCACGGGAGGCAGCAGUGAGGAAUAUUGGACAAUGGGCGAGAGCCUGAUCCAGCCAUGCCGCGUGCAGGAAGACUG
rnacentral:rRNA from 1 species